GUAUAACUAUAAACUAAAGUCCAAUCCUUGGACUUCAUCUCUCUCCUCCUCCUCUGUAUCUUCUUCAACAAUGGCUCAUCUCUUCAGAGACCUCUCACUGGGCCAUUCUAAGAGAGGGACCACAGCCACCGCCACAACCACCACACCCCCCAAAACACUUAGCAUACCCACCAAACCCAUCACCGCAAUGGCCACCGAUCUUCCCUCCCCACUCGGCCAGCUCGCUGCUCAACUCACUGACUCGGACCUCCGACUCACCGCAUACGAGAUCUUCGUAGCCGCCUGCCGCACAUCCACCGGAAAGGCCCUUACUUUCACGUCGUCUUCCGCUUCUUCUCACUUGGACUCACCGACACAGCACGCCAACUCGCCCAACGGCUCGCCGGCGUUGCAGAGAUCGCUCACUUCCGCAGCUGCCAGCAAGAUGAAGAAGGCAUUGGGUCUCAAAUCGCCGGGUUCGGGCUCCAAGAAGAGUCCUGGUUCCGGUGGGUCCGGGUCGGGACCCGGAAAGCCCAAGCGGGUUAUGACGGUGGGUGAGCUGAUGAGGAUCCAAAUGGGGAUUUCUGACGCCAUGGACUCUAGAGUCAGGAGAGCUCUGCUUAGGAUUUCUGCUGCUCAGGUAGGAAGGCGAAUUGAGUCAGUGGUAGUUCCACUGGAGCUCUUACAGCAGCUCAAGUCCUCUGAUUUUACUGAUAAACAAGAAUACGAUGCAUGGCAGAAAAGAACCCUCAAAAUUCUUGAGGCCGGUCUCCUUUUGCAUCCCCACUUGCCACUCGACAAGUCGAAUAAUACUGCACAGCGGCUGCGGCAAAUUAUUCAUGGAGCAUUGGACAGGCCCUUUGAAACCGGGAUAAAUAAUGAGACUAUGCAGGUUCUUCGUAGUGCUGUUACAACUCUUGCUUCCAGGUCAUCUGAUGGUCUCUAUGAUUCAUCCCACUGGGCAGAUGGGUUACCAUUGAAUCUCCGGCUUUAUGAAAGGCUUCUAGAAGCCUGCUUUGAUCUUCACGAUGAAACAUCUGUAAUAGACGAAGUUGACGAGCUGAUGGAGCACAUUAAGAAGACCUGGACAAUCCUUGGAAUGAACCAGAUGCUCCACAACCUUUGCUUUACCUGGGUGUUAUUUCACCGCUUUGUAGCAACUGGCCAAGUUGAACUGGACCUGUUAUAUGCUGCUGAUAGUCAGCUAGCCGAGGUUGCUAAAGAUUCAAAGGCAACAAAGGAUCCCGAAUACUGCAAGAUCUUGAGUUCGACAUUGACUUCAAUAUUGGGUUGGGCAGAGAAGAGACUCCUUGCAUAUCAUGACACUUUUGACAGCAGUAACAUUGAUACCAUGCAGGCCAUUGUUUCUCUGGGGGUAGUAGCAGCUAAAAUUUUAAUUGAAGAUAUAUCAAAUGAGUAUCGGAGGAGGAGGAAAAGUGAAGUUGAUGUUGCUCGCAACAGGAUUGACACUUACAUUAGGUCAUCAUUACGCACUGCUUUUGCUCAGAGAAUGGAAAAGGCAGACUCAAGCAGGAGAGCAUCAAGACACCAGCCAAAUCCCCUUCCCGUUCUUGCCAUCCUUGCAAAGGACGUUGGUGAGCUGGCAGUUAAGGAGAAGCAGGUGUUCAGUCCCAUACUGAAGAGAUGGCAUCCUUUUGCGGCUGGAGUGGCUGUGGCAACCCUUCAUGCUUGCUAUGCGAAUGAGAUUAAACAAUUCAUAUCGGGUAUAACGGAGUUGACACCAGAUGCUGUACAAGUUUUAAGAGCUGCAGAUAAGCUGGAGAAAGAUCUUGUGCUGAUAGCGGUUGAAGAUUCUGUAGAUAGUGAUGAUGGUGGCAAGGCAAUAAUUCGGGAAAUGCCCCCUUAUGAGGCUGAAGCUGCAAUUGCAAAUCUGGUAAAAGUGUGGAUCAAGACUAGAGUGGACAGAAUGAAAGAAUGGGUGGAUAGGAAUCUGCAACAAGAGGUAUGGAACCCACAAGUAAAUGAAGAAGGCUAUGCUCCAUCUGCUGUUGAAGUUUUGCGAAUUUUAGAUGAAACUCUGGAUGCGUUCUUUCAGCUGCCAAUAUCAAUGCAUCCUGCAUUGCUUCCUGACUUGAUGGUUGGCCUCGACAGAUGUCUUCAAUACUACGUAACCAAAGCAAAAUCUGGAUGUGGAUCACGUAAUACAUUUGUUCCCACUAUGCCAGCAUUGACCAGAUGUACUAUGGGAUCAAAGUUCCAAGGCUUUGGCAAAAAGAAAGAAAAAUCGCCAAAUCCUCAAAAGAGGAACUCUCAGGUUGCAACACUCAACGGGGAUAACUCCUUUGGAAUACCACAGCUGUGUGUUCGUAUAAACACAUUGCAAAGAAUCCGGAGUGAGUUGGAGGUUUUGGAGAAACGUACUAUUACUCAUCUAAGGAAUUCUGAAUCUGCUCAUGUAGAAGACUUCUCGAAUGGAUUGGGGAAAAAGUUUGAACUCACACCAGCGGCUUGUGUGGAAGCAAUCCAACAGCUUUGUGAGGCAGUGGCUUAUAAAAUGAUUUUCCAUGACCUAAGUCAUGUCCUGUGGGAUGGCCUGUAUGUUGGGGAACCAUCAUCUUCUAGAAUAGAGCCUUUUCUUGACGAACUGGAAAAGAACUUACUUAUCAUAUCAAACACUCUGCAUGAAAGAGUUCGUACACGGAUUAUUACUGAUAUCAUGAGAGCUUCCUUUGAUGGAUUUUUGUUGGUUCUGCUUGCUGGAGGUCCCUCCCGUGCAUUCGUCCGGCAAGAUUCGCAAAUAAUAGAGGACGAUUUCAAAUCCCUUAAAGACCUAUUCUGGGCCAAUGGAGAUGGCUUGCCUUCAGAACUGAUAGAUAAGUUUUCAACUACAGUGAGAGGUGUACUUCCCCUUUUCAGAACUGAUACUGAGAGCCUUGUUGAACGGUUUAGACGUGUGACCUUGGAGUCGUAUGGCUCUUCUGCCAGGUCCAGACUCCCAUUGCCCCCCACUUCCGGCCAGUGGAACCCAACUGAACCAAACACACUCCUACGCGUGUUGUGCUACAGGAAUGAUGAAGCAGCUACCAAGUUUCUUAAGAAGACUUACAAUUUGCCUAAGAAACUCUAAAAUUACCUUGGGGGAUGGUGCAUGGCAAGGGCUUGCAUAACAUUGUUAGGGGCUUCGACAGUGCUUGUAUUUAGUGUACGGAGCGAUGAUCACUGUGCCGAGAUGCUUCCAAUUUCAUGCAUUUGUGAGCAGAGGGGGAAGAGGCGUUUGCCGCCUUAGGCAGUGGCAGUGAUCAUCUUGUAUAGUAAAUUCUUGAGUGUUUGGUAUAUUCCAGCAGUUUGCUAAGACUACUACAGGUCGAAUAUUCUUUUUUUCUUCAUUCAUUUUCGUCGUUUAGAGGCUAUAAAAUCCAAUUGAUGUAUUCUUUUUCUUUUUUAAUGCUCUACUGCACAGCAAUUAUUUUUUGUAUUUUUUAGCUUUAUGUUUAAACGACCGAUGUUAUAUAUUUGUCAGUUUCCAGGUUUGAGUUCAAUAUCAUUUGUUGGUUUUCUUGUUGGUUUAAAAGUAUAGUGUGGUUGGCUAAUCAGGGUCUAGCUUAGUGGAAAAGGAUCUUGACUUGCAGACCGGUGAUUUUAGUUUUGAAUCCUCAUGACACUUUAGUAGUAUGUGAGAAAUCCUCAUCCUCUUUGUAGUUUAGACUAUUGCUUGUAUUCAAAAAAGUAUAGCAGCCUUCUGUUG